rnacentral:lncRNA from 1 species
AAAGAAUUCUAGGUAUGCCUGAAUGUCCUUGUUUUAUGAAUAGUUCCCUGAUGCAAUCAAGAUGGCCAUUAUCUGUGUCAGAGCCAUCUAGUUGAAAAAUGACUCCUAUCAAGAAAAGUGGAGCAGCCAUUGGAAAUGGUAGCUGUGGAGAGCCUUUACUGUACUUCCAAUGACCUGAUAAGACUAUUGCCCAGCUACCUUUAGAGAAGCUAGACUUCAUGUGCAUAUUAUUCACUUCAUGUACCUGAAUACACGACACGUAUAAAUGCUGAUUGUUGGACAAAUAUAUCUAUGGAAAAAGAAUACAGUCAACAACUUGCCACAGACUUAAAAUGGGUAUCCUAGUUAUCUCUUCAACAUGACUCUUCAUUUACUUUUACAAGGAAUGAAACUGAAUGAAUGUGAAAGAGCACGUGUCUGUGCAUUGGUGAGGCUUCCAGACGUGCAUGAGGAAGAUCGUGAUUUUUUUUAAGACAGAAGCAAAAAGCUCCUUAGUGGGGAAAGGGCCAGAUUUCCCAGGAUGUUUUUGUUGUUACUAUGUAGUAAUAAAUUGGUUUAUUCUUGUCUCUUAUUUUUCCUACUUGCAAAUAAUCAAAUCCGAUUAAGCUUUAAAUACAAGUAAUAUAAGGAAAGGUUAAAAAAAAAACAACAAUUCAUUAAUUUUUCCUUUUUUUUUUUUAACACUUUUCCCCCUUGGUUUUAAAAAAACUACUUAUUUAUUUAGCAGCUAAGGGCUUAGGACUUAGAAACCAUUAAUGAAUUAUGCGGUUUAUGUUUGAGUUUCCAGAUUGAAAACAAAGGAACACAGCUCAGGUGUUGGCUACGUGGCUUAAUCCCUAAGAUCAAGCAAUAAAUUAGUAACUGAACUAACAUUUAGCUCUUGAAAUUAAACUUAGAGUUAUUCAUAAACUUGUUCCUAUCAUUAGCUGGUACUCCAUUUUUAGAGGCAAUAUUUUGAGAACCAACUUGAACAGAGGCAAAAAUCCGGAGGUCAACUGGCAGCAGGGAGGGAAAAUUAUGAAAUUAGUGAAGCUUCUGGCCACAGACCCACUAGUGACCCUAACGACUGAUUUCCUUGAACUAAGUUUGCUUACUUGAUUAGAGUCGUAACAGCCCAUCAGCAAAUGUGACUGCAAUUUACAAUACUGACAAGCUUUUUUUUUUUUAAGUCUUAAGGUCUAAUUAUGUAAUGGUUGUUGUGAAGCUGCCAAAAAAAAGGGAGUGGGGGGCAGUGAGAGAAAGAGAUAAUGUAUGAAAAAGAGAUUUGUAAACAAUAACACAUAGCACACAUGUGCUUUACCAGCUAAUAAAUUAUCAAUCACUAUUGUAGCAGGGCCUUGCCUUAUGAACUGCCUGGUAACUGAGAUACUAGCCACGCUUUCAAAAGAUACAUAGUUGGAAAAAGUGAUGAGGGCUUAGAUAUGCUAGGCCUGGCUCAGAUUAAAGUUACUGAUAUGGUUUGGCUCUGUGUCCCCACCCAAAUCUCAUCUCAAAUUGUAAUCCCAACAUGUCAAGGGAGGGACCUGGUGGGAAGUGAUUGGAUCAUGGGGUGGUUCCUCCCAUGCUGUUCUCGUGAUACUGAGUGAAUUCUCAUGAGAUCUGAUGCUUUAAAAGUGUCUGGUGGUUCCCCCUGACACCUCUCCUGCACCAUGUAAAAUGUGCCUUACUUCUCCUUUGCCUUCAAUUAUAAUUGUAUGUUUCCUGAGGCCUCCUCAUCCAUGUGGAACUGUGAGUCAAUUAAACCUCUUUUCUUUAUAAAUUACCCAGUCUCAGGUAGUUCUUUAUAGCAAGUAUGAAAACAAACUAAUACAGUUACAAUCUUCUAUUUCCCCUUUGCUUUAAUUCACAGAAUUAAUGUGUAAUAUAAUUGUCCCAAAGGCUACAGAGGAUACAGUUAACAUGAACAUAAAUGACUACUUUGGAAAAUAAACAUAUGGCUUGGUUCUAAUAGUUCAUCCAUCUUUAGUGACUAAACAAGAAAAGGAGGAGGAACUGCUACCUUCACAAGACAUGAAAACCUAGGUAAAAAUGGAGCUAAGAUUGCUAUGUCAAACUGCCCACUGUAGCAUGCAUCACUGCACACCCCUUUGUAAUCUCAAGUGUUCCUAUAUAUAAAAAGUUAGAAAAUCUAAUUAUCACCAUUUAAGAAAAAUUUCAGCACAGAUUUACUGUUUGCCUUAAGAAACCCUCUUCAUUCAUUUAUAACUAGAAACUUUCUCUCCUGACUUCCCUUUCUCUCACCACCCAAUCUCCUCAAAGCUACCCCUCACACUCCUGCCCACUCUCCAACUGACAGAAUUUCCACAAUCCUAAAAGCAAAAGGAAAACUUUUUACUUCUAUAUUGUUCAAGAAGAGUAAUGCUGAUAAAAAUGGGAUAUAAGAAAACAAAUAAUUGUUGAUGCUUUUAUAAAGACAAUAUUGUAUGACAGUAGGAAAAACAAAAUGCAUAUUCAAAACUGCACAGAAAUACUGUGAAAGAUUUUAAUAAUAAUUGAAGGGGUAUAUGAAUGCACCAUGUAGCUGCCACCAGCGCAGAUCUAGUGGACUUCUGGCAAAUUUCAUUUAAAAAAAAAAUUUCACCGGAAGUCAGAUAAGAUAGAUAAAAGCAAUCAGAUACUGCCUUUGGAGUGUAAUAAAUAGACAAAGGGGGCUGGGAGAGUACUUCAAGUUGCACGAAGAUCUCUCUAUGAAUUAAUUUGGUAGUAAUUUAGAGGCUUCAGGAGUUGGGCUAUUUCAUUUAAAGAAGGAAUCAGUAUUUGUUGAUAGGGCCAAAGAAAUGUAAAGGAUUUAACAAUUGAUGAGCCACUCUCAAUGUUCAGAGCAGGAGGGAAGGUUGUAGUAAUAAAUUCCCAAGCUCUGUCAAUGAUGUGCUGGUGAAUGGACAGAGAGUAAUAGAGUGGAGCCACCUUUCCCUCCAGCUCCCUCCUGGGACUGUUGGACACUCAGGCAUUUGUGAUUCCUGUCCUUCCCCUCCUCUCAUGAGACACCAACUCCGGUGUCUGCAAGAAAGCAAAAAGAAAAAACAGGAUAUACCAGACCCUACCCAAACAGAGGUUUCUUUGGCUUCAGCUAUCUAUUCCCCUGAUGUCAGAAUUAAACCUGGAGCAAGUGAGCAGCUACAGGUAAAGCACUGCUACGUGGAACAGCAGCUCCUCCUCUGUUUUUGUGUUUGUUUUUUUUAAGUCUCACUUACCUAUUUCUUUUUUCCUCUCUCUAUUUGUUAAAUUUGUCUCAAUUCUCAA